AACGAACGCUGGCGGCAGGCCUAACACAUGCAAGUCGAGCGCGCCUUCGGGUGAGCGGCGGACGGGUGAGUAACACGUGGGAAUAUGCCUUUCGGUGCGGAAUAGUCUUGGGAAACUGAGGGUAAUACCGCAUACGCCCCUUGGGGGAAAGAUUUAUCGCCGAAAGAUUAGCCCGCGUUGGAUUAGGUAGUUGGUGGGGUAAUGGCCUACCAAGCCGACGAUCCAUAGCUGGUUUGAGAGGAUGAUCAGCCACACUGGGACUGAGACACGGCCCAGACUCCUACGAGAGGCAGCAGUGGGGAAUCUUAGACAAUGGGGGCAACCCUGAUCUAGCCAUGCCGCGUGAGUGAUGAAGGCCUUAGGGUUGUAAAGCUCUUUCA
rnacentral:rRNA from 1 species